rnacentral:lncRNA from 10 species
UCCCACUCCACCUUUGGAGAGCUCAGGGAAAAUUGCCUUCAACAAAAUCUACGCCCUGCAGUGCUCCAACGUAAGCCACAGAAAUCUAGGCUGAAGCUUCUCUCAUUUCACAGAUUUACAGACAUUUAAGGAUACCUGUCUCUUGCCUCCUUAUUCUUCCCUUUCUUGAGUUAAACACACAUGGGUCUCUUAAUAGCACCGAGUGGUCCCCAGGACACUCUAGUGGGUCUCUAGCCAUUGGGUCCUUCUGCGGGGGACCUUAACUCAGUACUCUAGCUCAGUCUGAUUGGACAGGGAUGGAGCAAGUUCUUUGUGCUACUUAGUUACUACACAACCACUGAGGCGAGACUCAGGUGUACUUGCAGCCCCGGACAGGCUGAGUAGCUUCCUUCCAUGCUCUGAACAUAGAGCCCUGUAUGCACUGGUGCCCAGCUGAGGGCUCAUAGGCCCCUGGACAAGCGUCUCAGGAUGACUUAAAACUCAUUUUCAGGUCUGGCUCCUUAUUGCCAGACAUUUCUCUCUGCCACACCAUGUGUGUCUUGCUCUCUGUUCCAUCUGUGGCUCCCUUCCAACAAAGCCUGCCUGGUAUCUGCCUCAGAGUUCGCCCAAAAGAAACUUGGCAUCGAGACAGACAGCUGGGGAGGCCAGAGGCAGCCUCUGCUGAAAACCUCUCUUGGAUGCUUGCUGCUGCCCCAGAGGAAGAGGGUGCAGUCUGCUUUGUCCAGACCUCAGGCUAAAGAUGGUCAACAGAACUACAGGGACCUUCAGCUGGCUGCAUAGGUCAAAGAAUGGAGUCUCUGGUGCAAGAAUGGAGACUCUGGUGCGAGAAUGGAGUCUGGUGCAAGAAUAGAGUUUUUUCAUGCAUCACACACUUAGAUGUAACCUAUAAAACAUUUUAUAUGUUCCACUUUAAUAACAUAUCCAGGUAUUGAGUACAAGGAGUAUGUUUGCCACAGCUCUGACCCUUGCAUCCUAUGUCAUCUGUACAGGAUGGGGAAUGGAAGGAGCUGAGGUUCAGAAUGUGCUUGGUGUGUUACUUCGUUGGUAAUCAAAAGUAGCACAUUUACAUAUUGGCACAUCAAAAUGUUCUUUUUUGUACAUUGCUGCAGGUUAAGAAAGACACAGCAGGACCUGUGUAGAGUCAGAGAAGGGAAAAACAAGUAUAGUCUGAGAAGGAAGGACUUCCACUCCUAAAUAUAUAGCGAAAACCUACUCAUCAUCUUCUGGGUGGACAGAGCCUGGUUUGUAUCACAGGAAGGGAUAUGGGAAUCAUGAUGCUGUCACCAAAUCAGGUAUCUCACAAAGGAUGAUCAGAGGAGGUCUUUGGAAGCUGAGAGGAUAUAGAUGAAUUUUAGAGAAGAUUAAAAUCUUCUCUCUACACAAUGGGAAGAAGUUAGCAGAGGUCUUUUACCUGGAAGAGCUGCACUGGCCAGCAAUUGAAGUGACUAUGCUCCCUUGCAUGUUGAGAAGAUGCAAAGUCAAGUGGCUGGAGAAACAGAACCACAUUUGCUGAGUACCUACAGUGUGCUAGAUGUUCCCCACAUUAUCUUGUGAAUCCUCCAAAUGGUCUUGCGAUGUAGAUAUUAAUUUUCCUGUUUUUAGAGAUGAGCCAACUGGGACUCAGAGCAUUUAAGUAACUUCCUCAAAAUUCCUGUCAGUAUGUAGCAGAGUUAGAGCUCAGUCUUGGGUCUUUCUGAAGUCAAAGCUUGUUUUCUUUUUGCUAAAGUAGCAGUUUUCAGUCCCAUCAGACCCAAGGCCCCUUUUUAUAAUAAAUAUCUUGUAACGUCUUCUUUACUACCCUGAAAAAAAAUCAUUGAAAACUAGUUUCUUUUCUUUUUUUUUCUUUUUUUUUUUUUUUUUGAGAUGGAGUCUCGCUCUGUCACCCAGGCUGGACUGCAGUGGCGUGAUCUCGGCUCACUGCAACCUCUGUCUCCCAGGUUCAAGCGAUUUUUCAGCCUCAGCCUCCCAAGUAGCUGGGACUACAGGUGCGUGCCACCACACCCAGCUAGUUUUUGUUUUUUUAGUAGAUACAGGGUUUCACUAUGUUGGCCAGGCUGGUCUCAACCUCCUGACCUCAUGAUCCGCCUUCCUUGGCCUCCCAAAGUGCUUGGAUUACAGGCAUAAGCCAUCACACCGGGCCUGAAAACUAAUCUUAUGUAUAGUACUUGGGUUUUGUUUGUUCGUUUGUUUUGUUUUUGUUUUUUGAGACAGGGUCUCACUCUGUUGCCCAGACCGGAGUGUAGUGGCAGGAUCAUGGCUCACUGUAGCCUCAACUUCCUGGGCUCAAGAAAUCCUCCCACCUCAGCCUCCCAAGUAGCUGGGGCUACAGGUGCAUACCACCAUGCCUGGCUAAUUUUUAUUUUUUGUGGAAAUGGGAUUUUGCCAUGUUGUCCAGGCUGGUCUCAAACUUCUGAGCUCAAGCGAUCCUCCCACCUCGGUCUCCCAAAGUACUGGGAUUACAGGCAUGAGCCACUGCACCUGGCCUAGUACUUGCUUUUCUUAAAAAAGCAAUAAUAUCUACAUAAAAACUUGUACACAAAUGUUUAUAGUGGCAUUACUCAUAAUAGCUAAAAAGUGGAAACGCCCAAACAUUAUCAACUGGAUGAUGGAUACAUAUAGUCUAUUCAUACAGUGGAAUAUUAUUCAGCAAUAAAAAAUGAAUGAAAUAUUGAUACAUGCUACAACAUAGAAGACUCUUGAAAACAUUAUGUUGAGUGAAUGAAACCAGUCACAAAGAACAAUAUACCAUGUGGUUCAAUUUAUAUGAAAUAUCCAGAAUAGGCAGAUCCAUAGAGAUGGAAAGUAGAUUAGUGGUUGCCUAGAGCUGGGGGAUGGAGGGACUGAGGGUGAAAUCUAAGGAAAGCAGGAUUUUUUUUUUUUUUUUUUGAGACGAAGUCUCACUUUUGUCCCCCAGGCUGGAGUGCAAUGGCACGAUCUCGGCUCACUGGAACCUCUGCCUCCUGGGUUCAAGCGAUUCUCCUGCGUCAGCCUCCCAAGUAGCUGGGAUUACAGGCACCUGCCACCAAGCCCAGCUAAUUUUUGUAUUUUUAGUAGAGACAGGGUUUCACCACGUUGGCCAGGCUAGUCUUGAACUCCUGACCUCAGGUGAUCUGCCUACCUCGGUCCCCCAUAGUGCUGUGAUACAGGUGUGAGCCACCGCGCCCGGCUGACCGAGCAGGAUUUUUUUGAAGGGUGUAAUGAAAGGAUUCUAAAACUGAUUGUGGUAAUGGAUGCACAAUUGUGACUAUACUAAAAACCAUUGAGUUGUAUACUUUAAGUGGGUAAAUUGUAUGGUGUGUGAAUUAUAUCUCAAUAAAGUACUUUUUAAAAAGCAAUAAAAUAAUGUCUUGGC